CAGUCGCCGCGGUAAUACAGAGGGUGCGAGCGUUAAUCGGAUUUACUGGGCGUAAAGCGUGCGUAGGCGGCUUUUUAAGUCGGAUGUGAAAUCCCUGAGCUUAACUUAGGAAUUGCAUUCGAUACUGGGAAGCUAGAGUCUUGUAGAGGGGGGUAGAAUUCCAGGUGUAGCGGUGAAAUGCGUAGAGAUCUGGAGGAAUACCGGUGGCGAAGGCGGCCCCCUGGACAAAGACUGACGCUCAGGUGCGAAAGCGUGGGGAGCAAACAGGAUUAGAUACCCGCGUAGUCCCUGUCUCUUAUAU
rnacentral:rRNA from 1 species